CUCUAUAGAGGUUGGUUGCAUGAUCGUUUCAAGCCUGGGUCUUCCAAGGUGUUUUGAACUUCAGCUCCCAGAAUUCUCCAUCGUUGGUGAAGACGGCCGAGGCUUCUGGGAAAUGAAGUCCAAGAAAGGGUUGGCCGCCUAGAGGUUGGGAAUCGCAGGCUCUGGUUCAGGCAUGGGCAAACCUGGGCCCUCCAGGUGUUUUGGACUUCAACUCCCACAAUUCCUAACAGCCUGGAGGGCCCAAGUUUGCCCAUGCCUGGUGUAGAUGCACCCAUACUGGAGAGUCCAGACAGAUUCAUACUGAGAGAUAUAAUCUGCCAGGUAGUAAGGUAAAGGUUUCCUCUGACGUUAAGUCCAGUCAUGUCAGACUCUGGGGGUUGGUGCUCAUCUCCAAUUUCUAAGCCGAAGAGCCGGCGUUGUCCGUUGACACCUCCAAGGUCAUGUGGCUGGCAUGACUGCAUGGAGUGCCGUUACCUUCCCGCCGGAGCGGUACCUAUUGAUCUACUCACAUUGGCAUGUUUUCGAACUGCUAGGUUGGCUGGAGCUAACAGCGGCCGCUCCCGCCGCUCCCGGGGUUUGAACCUGGGAUUUUUCGGUCUGCAAGUUCAGCAGCUCAGUGCUUUAACCCACUUCGUCACGGGGGCCAUAUGAUAUGCCAGGUAGCUAUAUGAUAAUAAUAAUAAUGAUAAUUUAUAUUUUGCUUUUUUCCUUCAUGGGACCCAAAGAGGCUUACAACAUAUUAAAAUCAGUGCAAUUCUAGCUGGCCAAACAAUUAUUCCCCUACAAAGGAAGUAGCCAGGCUUCAAAGCGGUUCUUUGAUUGAGGGUGCUACUCCAGCUCGCCAAACAAGCAUUCCCCGAGUUAUAACACAGCCAGGCAUUGAAGCUGCAAGGCUAUUCAGUGCAAUUCAACCAGACCAUCAAAGGAUUAACCUUGGUAGAAGGCAGCCAGGCGUUGAAGCAGCGAGGCUAUUCAUUGCAAUUCUAGCAGCCCAAAAAAACCAUUACCCUAGAACACACGUACCCAGCCUCUUAAGCAGCAAGCCUAUUCCAUUGUAUAACAGCUCACCAAACAAGGAUUCAUAUAAGAAGAAAAUGGGCAGACUUCGAGGCUGCAAGGCUAUUCCACCUGGCCAACAAAUGAUUCCCAUAAGCCACAACAACGCAUGGCCGGGCAUAGCUAGUAUUUUAUAGAAAUGCAGUUUUAAGGUGAUUUUUUAAUAGAAAUAUGUAUAUUUGUUGAAUAUUUGCAAUGUUUAUAUUUUUUAAUUGUGUGGUAACCCACCUUGAGCCGCAGGGAGAGCCAGGUAAGAAAUGAAAAAUAUAUUAUUGUUAUAGUUCACAGCUUCUGGUAUUCAAUAUGUUGCCAGUUUUAGAAGAUUUUAAUAUUUACUUCAGCAUUUACCUUUGCCAUUUUAGCAUAUAAAUGUUUUAUACAGUUUUAACUACCAUAUUCAAUACUGUGUUUUAACCUUGUUCUUCACUGUGUUUCUUAAUAUCUAAUUGUAUACGUUUCUAUGCUAUUCUGAUGCUUGUACAUUUUCUGUUGCUGGUCAUCGACUGUAAUAAAUAAUUACAGAAUAGUUCACAGCAUCUGCUAUUCAUUAGCAGUCUCCUAUCCAAAUAUUAACAAGUGGCGAUUUUGCAUAGUUUCCAAGAUCAGAUGGAAUUUGGUCCUUUAAGGGGUUUAGGGUAGAGGAGUCUGUAGCUAUCUUAAUGUUGAACUCAAAAAUCCUAUUAGUUUGAUGCAGUGUGUAAGAUCAUUGGGAAUUAUGACAGCUGUAGUCCAAGAUAAUAUGGAAGGCUGCAAAUUAUUCACCCCUAUACCAAUAUUACCAGUACCAACUCAUGUAAUGAAAAGUCCAUUUACCAAAACAAGGAUGAAAAUAGGGUUGGGUUCAAUAGCAGCAGAUACGUUUCCUUGGAUUGUGAGCUUUCACCAAAUAAAAAAAUGGAUGGGAACAAAAAACACAGUCAAAAAGUAAUUGAGAGAUUCAGACAAGACCUGAAACACUGAGGGUUACAUCCAAUGUGUAAUGCUGUUCUAGUAGGUAUGGUAUUGUUAAUAGUUAUAGAAUUGGUCCUACCGUGUUUCCCCGAAAAUAAGACAGUGUCUUAUAUUAAUUUUUGCUCCCAAAGAUGUGCUAGGUCUUAUUUUCAGGGGAUGUCUUAUUUUUCCAUGAAGAAGAAUUCACAUUUAUUGUUGAACAAAAAAAUGAGCAUUUAUUAUAUACUGUACAGUAGUUGUCAUCACAAACCAGCAUAACCAGACAAACUGCGAAUCCUAUCAAGAAUUUCUUGUUACUACCAUUAUUUCCAUGUACAACUGGUAUGUACAUUUACCAAUCCUGCAUGCUCUGGUGUUCUAUUUGGCAGGCACUGGGCAUGCUUCCAAACAAAAACUUUGCUAGGUCUUACUUUCGGGGGAGGCCUUAUAUUUAGCAAUUCAGCAAAACGUCUACUAGGUCUUAUUUUUCGGGGAUGUCUUAUUUUCGGGGAAACAGGGUAUUCUAGGACACAAUACUAAUCCAUUUCCUCAAUAUCCAUAAUUUUACUGAUAAUUGUGAUACUGCAUGAGCAUGAGUUUAUUUUUCUGGAAUACUGCAGCAUGGUUUACUUUUCUUAAGGCCAUUUGGCAUUUUUUAUUGUGUCAGAAGCAAAUAUACUGCAAGUCACUUCUGGUAUGAAAAGAAUCGGCCGUCUACAAGCACGUUGCCCAUGGGACGCCUAGGUAUGUUACCAUCCUGCUGGGAGGAUGUCAUGUCCCUACAUGAGAAGCUAGGACUGACAGAAGAGAGCUCACCCCAUCUUGCGGAUAUGAACUGCUGCUUCAGGAAAUUCCACUGGAUCAACAUUCCUUGCAGCAGUAGAAGACCCUUUGAUUAGUAGAGUGGCAAGAGUGGAUCAAACCCAUGAAAACUGUAAUUAAAAUUGUGAAUGUUCACAAAGACAUAGUGUAGUUGAAAAAGAUGAACCACAACAUUAAUGUAAAUAAACUGUCUCUGUAGUUUGCCUCCUUUUUAUAUACGAGUGCCUGUAUGUGACAGAACUAGAGAAUCAGAUAAAAAAAAAUAUUCACACCGAAAAUAAUUUUAUUUUGAUAGAAGUCUGAUAUUACAUUAGGUAAGUACAAAUUAGAUUUUUAAAAAUCUAACCAUUAAACCUACAGUUAAAUGACAUAUUUCUUGUUAAGAUGCCAGUCUUAAUUUCAUAGAAUUUCAUUUGCAGGGUGUCUGUUAUAAACUGGUAAAGCAUGAUUCACAAAUAGAUCUCUCAUCCUAUCAGCCCUUCCAAAACGAACACUGAAGCCCCUUCCAGUUUAAGAGCUUCCAUGAGACAUAUCUGACAGUUCAAUUUCUAAGCACACUUACUUAAAAAUAACUUAUUGCCAAUGUUACUCACUGUCAAGUUAAGCUUGUAGAGUCUGACAUGUUUUAUGAAAUCCCAACAAAUUAGUAGUCACUAUCAGAUAGUCAUCUUUUGGCAGCAAUUGUUCUGAAAACAUAAUUGGUCUGUAGGGCAUUGGUAUUUUUUUUCCAAUGUAUUAAGUGCAGAAAUGAUUCUGUUUAUCUUAAUGUUCUUGGGAAUACACAUUGCACAUGGAAAUUCCUUUCUUGUAAAAACUAGGAAGUCUUUUCUCACAGCGCACACAUUUUUGGAAUAUAUUUUAUUGAGAAAACAUAUUAUGGUUUUAAAAAGGUUAAACAUGAAGAGCUGCAUCAACCAUUUCAGUCUAAUGAGUUGGCUUCUCCAUCAACUAUACGAGAUAAAAAUGUUAUGUUUCCACAAAACUGCAUCAAAGACCAUUAAAGUUUUUAAACUGUGGACUA